rnacentral:rRNA from 1 species
UAAGAAUAUUCCGCAAUGGACGAAAGUCUGACGGAGCGACGCCGCGUGGAUGAUGAAGGCCGGAAGGUUGUAAAAUCCUUUUGUCGGGGAAGAAUAAGCGUGGGAGGGAAUGCCCGCGUGAUGACAUGAACCGGCGAAUAAGCCCCGGCUAACUACGUGCCAGCAGCCGCGGUAACACGUAGGGGGCAAGCGUUGUUCGGAAUUACUGGGCGUAAAGGGCAUGUAGGCGGUUUUGUAAGCCUGACGUGAAAGGCUAUGGCUUAACCAUGGCACUGCGUUGGGAACUGCGAGACUUGAAUCACGGAGGGGGAGCUGGAAUUCCAGGUGUAGGGGUGAAAUCUGUAGAUAUCUGGAAGAACACCAGUGGCGAAGGCGAGCUCCUGGCCGAUGAUUGACGCUGAGGUGCGAAAGUGUGGGGAUCAAACAG